UGGGGAAUAUUGGACAAUGGGCGCAAGCCUGAUCCAGCCAUGCCGCGUGAGUGAUGAAGGCCCUAGGGUUGUAAAGCUCUUUCACCGGUGAAGAUAAUGACGGUAACCGGAGAAGAAGCCCCGGCUAACUUCGUGCCAGCAGCCGCGGUAAUACGAAGGGGGCUAGCGUUGUUCGGAAUUACUGGGCGUAAAGCGCACGUAGGCGGACAUUUAAGUCAGGGGUGAAAUCCCGGGGGCUCAACCCCGGAACUGCCUUUGAUACUGGGUGUCUAGAGUUCGAGAGAGGUGAGUGGAAUUCCGAGUGUAGAGGUGAAAUUCGUAGAUAUUCGGAGGAACACCAGUGGCGAAGGCGGCUCACUGGCUCGAUACUGACGCUGAGGUGCGAAAGCGUGGGGAGCAAAACAGGAUUAGAUACCCUGGUAGUCCACGCCGUAAACGAUGGAAGCCAGCUGUCGGCAAGUUUACUUGUCGGUGGCGCAGCUAACGCAUUAAGCUUCCCGCCUGGGGAGUACGGUCGCAAGAUUAAAACUCAAAUGAAUUGACGGGGGUCAUAGCUGUUUCCUG
rnacentral:rRNA from 1 species